GGCAUUGUUCUGGGUGCUAAAAUUACAGCUGUGAAUAAAAUAGACACAGCUCCUUCCCUCGCAGAUCUUAUAUUCUGGUGGGGGAGGGCGGGAGACUAAGACCAUGUAAAUAUGUAUUAUUCAGAGAGUGAAAUAUGCUUUGAAUAAAAUAUAGAAACAGAAGAAAGUCACAGUGACAGGGGAAGGAAAUUUCGCCUUAUAUUGGGUGGUCAGGGAACAUCUUAUUGAUAGGCAGAGCCUGAAGAAAGAGAAAGAGCAAACCAUAUGGAUACCUGGAGAGAGGAAGUUUGGGCAGAAGGAAGAGCAAAUGCAAAGGCCCUGGGCUGGGUCUUCUCAAGGAAAAGCAAGGAGGCCGCUGUGGCUGGUGUGGGGCUGGCGCUUAUUCUACACUGCUGCCUUUCAGAAAGUGUAACAAAGAACCAGAUGGCUCUUUGCUAGACUUGCCCUAUUUUGUUGUGGUUGUUAACUAAAAAUACAUGGGAAAAGGGUGUUUUUUAUACUGCUAAGGUUGCAUUCUUGAUUGGCUAAGGAGUUAACCCCAGGAUGUGUGUGUGUGUGUGUGUGUGUGUGAAUGAUAUAUAUACAUACCUAUACACACACACGUUUGUUUAAUGAAAUGGGAGAGAAGUUGAGACAUACCUUUUUGUGCUUCAAUGUGAGCCUGUGAGAGUUAGUAGUUUAGCUGAUACAAAACCCCUUUGUAAUCUAUUAUGCAGCCUGUUAUUAGCAAUCAGU
rnacentral:lncRNA from 1 species